AUUGAACGCGGGCGGAAUGCUUUACACAUGCAAGUCGAGCGGCAGCGCGGGGGCAACCCUGGCGGCGAGCGGCGAACGGGUGAGUAAUACAUCGGAACGUACCCUGACGUGGGGGAUAACUAACCGAAAGGUUAGCUAAUACCGCAUACGUCCUGAGGGAGACAGCGGGGGAGCGCAAGACCUCGCGCGUUAGGAGGGGCCGAGGGCGGAGUAGCUGGUUGGUGAGGGAAAGGCUCACCGAGGCGGCGAUCCGUGGCGGGUCUGGGAGGGCGACCCGCCACACUGGAACUGAGACACGGUCCAGACUCCUACGGGAGGCAGCAGUGGGGAAUUUUGGACAAUGGGGGAAACCCUGAUCCAGCAAUUCCGCGUGAGUGAAGAAGGCCUUCGGGUUGUAAAGCUCUUUCGGCAGGGAAGAAACGGCCCCGGAUAAUACCUGGGGUUAAUGACGGUACCUGAAGAAGAAGCACCGGCUAACUACGUGCCAGCAGCCGCAGUAACAC
rnacentral:rRNA from 1 species